CAUUUCAUUGCGCAAAUUUCGGCCGAUAUACUACGAUCCGACGCUUGCGGCGAACUUUUGACUCAAAUCCACGACCAAUAUACUACGAUUUCCUCCAAAUAUACUACGAUUCGUGCCAAAUAUAAUUACGAAAGUGUAAAAGAGCCGAAAUAUAUUGAACGAUAUCGGGCAAAUAUACAAAAUUCGGCCAAUAUA
rfam:Spodoptera litura nucleopolyhedrovirus II, complete genome.